UACGGAGGGAGCUAGCGUUGUUCGGAAUUACUGGGCGUAAAGCGCACGUAGGCGGCUUUGUAAGUUAGAGGUGAAAGCCCGGGGCUCAACUCCGGAACUGCCUUUAAGACUGCAUCGCUUGAAUCCGGGAGAGGUGAGUGGAAUUCCGAGUGUAGAGGUGAAAUUCGUAGAUAUUCGGAAGAACACCAGUGGCGAAGGCGGCUCACUGGUCCGGUACUGACGCUGAGGUGCGAAAGCGUGGGGAGCAAACAGG
rnacentral:rRNA from 1 species